UUAAUAUACCAAAAGGGAAUAAUCCUUUGUUCGGUGUACAAGUAAGAUUAGAUUGAAAAAUUAAGUGUAUCUAUAAAUACACCUACUUACUUGGAAAAGAGCCAUUUAGACGGCUCUUUUUUUAUGGUAAA
rnacentral:ncRNA from 1 species